rnacentral:rRNA from 1 species
GACGAACGCUGGCGGCGUGCUUAACACAUGCAAGUCGAACGGAAAGGCCCUGCUUUUGUGGGGUGCUCGAGUGGCGAACGGGUGAGUAACACGUGAGUAACCUGCCCUUGACUUUGGGAUAACUUCAGGAAACUGGGGCUAAUACCGGAUAGGAGCUCCUGCUGCAUGGUGGGGGUUGGAAAGUUUCGGCGGUUGGGGAUGGACUCGCGGCUUAUCAGCUUGUUGGUGGGGUAGUGGCUUACCAAGGCAUUGACGGGUCGCCGGCCUGGGAGGGUGGCCGGCCACAUUAGGACUGAGAUACGGCCCAGACUCCUACGGGAGGCAGCAGUGGGGAAUAUUGCACAAUGGGCGGAAGCCUGAUGCAGCAACGCCGCGUGCGGGAUGACGGCCUUCGGGUUGUAAACCGCUUUCGCCUGUGACGAAGCGUGAGUGACGGUAAUGGGUAAAGAAGCACCGGCUAACUACGUG